GAUCAUGGCUCAGGAUGAACGCUAGCUACAGGCUUAACACAUGCAAGUCGAGGGGCAGCAUUUCAGUUUGCUUGCAAACUGGAGAUGGCGACCGGCGCACGGGUGAGUAACACGUAUCCAACCUGCCGAUAACUCGGGGAUAGCCUUUCGAAAGAAAGAUUAAUACCCGAUGGUAUAAUUAGACCGCAUGGUCUUGUUAUUAAAGAAUUUCGGUUAUCGAUGGGGAGUGCGUUCCAUUAGGCAG
rnacentral:rRNA from 1 species